ACGUUUUUAGGAAAGAUUGUUAGGUUUUGACUGUAGGGUUUCAUUUUGACAGAGCUGUGAGGUAUUUUACAAGUGUGUCUUAUCUUGCUUGUGUGUAGAGUUUUGACACAGCAAGCCAAAUUUUGCAAAAUGUGUGUAAGCAAUCGGC